GGUUAUCUAACUGGUGAACUCAACGUUGACGAGUCCAGACUCGUUCCUCUUAUCAUGCCAGACGAUUAUGCUAAAGCCUUGAAAGACGGUCCCCAAAGAGGUGGUGUUGCUGCAGUGAUUGAUGAGCGUACAUACAUUGAGCUAUUCCUCUCAAGCAGAUGUGAUUUCAGUAUUGUAGGUCAAGAAUUCACCAAAACCGGUUGGGGAUUUGUAAGUUUCUCUUUUAUCUAUUAUAUCUAUGACCAUGGUAAUACUCUUUUAUCAGAUAACCUGACAUGUUAUAUUACCAAAUCAGGCCCUUCAAGACAUUUUGAUAAAACAACCUUAAUAUUGCUAAAGUGUUAUAUAAGCAGAACUGGUUGCCCAAAUAUUAUGUUCUGGAUUCUCAUAGUUAUCAUGUUCAUUUCAAAUCAGGCUUUUGCAAGGGACUCACCUUUAUCAGUGGACAUGUCUACUGCUAUUUUGAAGCUGUCAGAUAAUGGGGAUCUACGAAGGAUCCAUGAUAAAUGGCUUAUAAGCAGUAGUUGUGCCUCACAAGGCGCAAAGCUACAAGUUGACAGGCUUCAACUUAAAAGCUUCUGGGGCCUCUUUGUUCUUUGUGGUUCAGCUUGUUUUCUUGCUCUGAUUAUAUAUUUCAUCAAUAUGCUGCGCCAGUUCAGCAAGCACUACACUGAGGAAGUGAUUUCUGCCGGCAGCUCGACAUCUGCACGUCUUCAAACCUUUAUUUCAUUUGUUGAUGAGAAGGAAGAGGAAGUAAAAAGUCGAUCCAAACGACGGCAAAUGGAAAGGAUCUCAAAUAGAAGUGCAAGUGAAGAUGAAUCAAUGUACAACUCCAAAAGAAGACAUAUUGAUCAAUCAUCUUCAAGAAUGAGUCUUGAUAAUGGUAAUAAUGCCUGAUCAGAAGUUCUGAUUCCGAGCCAUCCCACACCAAUUAUAACUUCAUGGGUCGUCUUCUGAUAUGAAUUAGGUUAGAAGCUUAUGCAUACACAGCUCAUGUCAUUACAUAUUCAAUUUCAUGCUGCAUUACUCUUUUAUGGGAAUACUUUGACAAAGCUCUUUGUGAAGUGUACCAAAUUUUUAAUAGAAAGAUGAUGAAAUUCACUAAUUAUUUGUGUGCUUGGUGGGUAAUUCUGCAUGAAAUGAAACCCAACCAAGAAAAGAAUAAAAAACUAAUAAAAAAAACUUUAAGAUCUAUUCAUCUCAGUGUAUAAUUUUUACACUGAUCCUCCCUCUAGGAACAGGAUCGAGCUUCAAAUACUUAGCUGGAGGGUCAUUUUUAUGCACAUAGCUGCUAACUCAGCAGCUAAGUAUUUGAAGACAUAGGGUAUUGCAACUGUCUCCAUCCCUUUAUUCGUAUCAGAAGCAUGACAGAAGACCUUGGGAGGUCUUACAGGGGGCAGUCCCUUAACUGCACGUGCAACCCGUUUCUCUGGCUUGAUGACUGAGGGUGUUAGGAUGCUUCCACAUGUGGAACAUACAGCAGCAAUGUGAUAAUCAGAACAUGUAUGAAGCCUAUCAUGCAAUAGAUAGGCUGCCCCAUGCGCAAGCAACGAGUCUCGUUCUAUUUCACCAAAACAUAUACCUCCACCUCCCUUUCAUCCCUUGAUGGGCUGGCUGGUGAUCUGAUCUACCAUACCAGUGGAAUGAACCUGCACGCCAAUUUGGAGUGGCAUGUAAGGAAACCGAUAAACGAAAUUGGAGAAAUAUACAUGCAAAAUUAUACUGAGAAAAUCUUAAACUUGUCUGAAACCAUAUGUUGUAGUCGUUGAUAAUAAACAGGACCAAUAAAGAUCUCACAUGUCAGUUCGGUUCCAUAAACCCCACUGUACAACACCUCUAAACCAUAGUAGUUAAACCCUUUAACAUUUCACCAAGUUCAUCAACAAGGGUUUUGGAUUUUGGUUGAGUGUUUUCAUUAGCCUUCUUUGAAUUAGCAAACGGUCAACAUAUUCUCCAUGCACAGACUAUUAUUUCAAGAAGUUCAAUGGACUCUGCUGUGCAAUACUUUAUCAAAAUGCAAAUUUAUGUCCUAGUAUUUAUGCUCAUCCAGUAAUUAAAACUUAACUCUAUAACCCAAGAGCAGCAACUAAUAGUUAACUUUUAUUUUCCAGAAACUUCCCAAAAAUCCUGUUAUCUGAAUUUCCCUUUCCAGCAACUCGAUGGCAAUCGAGAUUUAUUCGUCUAAAGUCCUAUUUGAACAUUUCCAAAUCCUAAUAAACUCUCACAUUUUCCCUAACCAUUGCACAAAUUAGCCUUCCAUCACUUUAUUACUGCUGCAAUACAACAGUUCUGUACCUUCUUCGCAUCUAUAGCAACAUAGUCAACGAUAACAUCCUCUGAACCUUUUUAUUUGACGGCAUGUUGCUCAUUAUUUACCUCAUUAUAGAUGCUAUAAUAUUCUUCAUCUGGUUUUAUUGUCCGAAAUUUAACUUUUGUUUUUUGGCCUACCUCCUUAAUUUAAUAUAUGUAAUUAAGUAAUAUGUUAGCCUUUUUUAAUUACUUUAAUUAGUGAUUACGUUUUAAACAACAAAUUGAAUAAUUAAAUUAAAUUAAUUAACUAAUCGGGUUUAAUUUAAAUCACAGAGCUCAAGAGCCCCAAAGCCCAAAGCUAACCUUUUCAUUAAUUAAAAAUAUAUACAUAUAUUAACCAUUGAACACAUAAUUCUCACAUAUUAUUGAAUAAAAAUGAUAUAUACUAAAAGAAAAUCACCUUAAUUGCUUUUAAAAAAUAGUAUAGCCGCGCGGCUAUACUUUUUUAAAAAAAAAACGUGUGCUACUGGUUUGACGCUUAAGCGCUGGACUGGUCUGUGUACAUGCAUAUAUAGUAUAGCCGACCGGCUAUACUAGAUUCUUUUUUGAAUUUUUUAAGAAAUAGUAUAGCCGCGCGGCUAUACUCAUUUUCCCACUUUUUUUUCAAAAAUAGUGUAGCCGUUCGGCUUUACUCAUUUGACACGUGGCACCCUGGCCUUGGCCAGUGUAGCUUGGGUGCUUAUAUAAUCUCGUUUGCUUGUUCUUGCUUUUGCAUAUACAUAUUUGUCUUCAGUUGAGAGCAAAUAAUUAAGCUUCAUUAUUUUUCUUUAUGUCCUUCAAAUUCAUCUUUUUCGUAUUGCUUUGUUAGAUAUUUAGCCAGCUUCAUGCAUGUGUUUUUGGAGCAUGUUCCUUUAUUUUUGUUGUUAAUUACCCACUUCUCUUUCCCAUUAGAUAUUUCGGUCCUUUUGCAGUGUGCAGACCACCAUGAACAAAGCCUUGCUGCUUAUGCUAUUUAUGGUUCUCUAUAAUGGUGCUUCUUCAAAUGGAAUUGGUGUUGGUGCUACUGCUACUACUGCAAGACCUGAAGUUGUCAACAUAGGCGCGAUUUUCACUUUCGAUUCUGUCAUUGGCAAAAUUGCAAAACUUGCAAUAGCCCUUGCAGUUGAAGAUGUCAAUUCUGAUCCAGAAAAUCUCAAUGGAACAAAGCUGACACUUAAAAUGCAGAAUACCAAAUCUAGUGACUUUCUGGGCAUCAUCGAGGGUACACACUAAUUAAAUUUCCCAUGUUUUCACUCAAAAGUUUUAUCAGUUCCUUUACACAAGUCUUAGUAAGAAUGAUGGAUAUUUCUUGUUGCUUGACAGCUUUGCAGUUCAUGGAGAAUGACACAGUGGCCAUAAUUGGCCCCCAAUUCUCAGCUACUGCUCAUGUAAUCUCACAUAUUGCAGAUGAACUAAAAGUCCCACUAUUAUCAUUUGCAGCAACGGACCCUACUCUGUCUCCAACUCAGUUCCCAUUCUUGGUUAGGACAACAAGAAGUGACCUCUUUCAGAUGACUGCAGUAGCAGACCUUGUUGACUACUAUGAGUGGAGAGAUGUCAUAGCAAUCUACGUGAAUGAUGAUUUUGGCAGAAAUGCCAUUGCUGCCUUAGGGGACAAGCUAGCCGAAAAACGGUGUAAAAUUUCAUACAAAGUGCCUCUGAACCCCAAAGCAACAAAAGAUGAAAUCACCAACGCACUCAUUAGUGUUUCUUCAAUGGAGUCCAGGAUUCUGAUCCUGCACAUUUAUACCAGUUGGGGUCUACAAGUGCUUACUGAAGCACGAAACCUCAUGAUGAUGGCUAGUGGAUAUGUCUGGAUCCUUCCCUGACUUUUGUAUCAACAGAUGACAUUCAAGGGGUUCUUACAUUAAAAUGUACACACCAGAAUCGGAGCUCAAAAAGAAAUUUAAAUCGCAGUGGAGCAACUUAACUAGUGCAAGAAGAGUGAAUGGCUCUUCUUUUGGGCUAAAUACGUAUGGUCUAUAUGCCUAUGAUUCUGUAAGGCAUCUUGCUGUUGCCCUUGAUUCAUUUUUUGCUCGUGGGGGAAAUAUUUCAUUUUCAACUGACUCGAACUUAAAUGAGUUACGCGGAGGGAAGUUGAAUCUUGAUGCUUUGAAAAUGUUCAAUGGUGGCAGCCAGCUGCUCCAAAGCAUUUUAGAGGUUAACACAACUGGUUUAAUUGGGCCAAUUAAGUUUAAUCCAGAUGGGAACUUGAUUAAUCCUGCAUUUGAAGUCAUCAAUGUUAUUGGCACAGGGACUAGGACAAUUGGUUAUUGGUCCAACUCUUCUGGCUUAUCACUUGAUCCACCAGAAAAGCCUCAAAGGAAGCUGCAGUCUAAUGGCUCCAGCAUCGGUAUUCAACGACUAUACAGCGUCAUCUGGCCUGGACAAACAACUCAGAAGCCUCGUGGGUGGGUUUUCCCUGACAACGGAAGAAAGCUCAGGAUUGGUGUCCCAAAUCGAGUUAGCUAUCGUGAGUUUGUGGGCAUAAAAGGCACAGAAUUCACUGGCUAUUGCAUUGAGGUCUUUCUAGCUGCAUUGGAUGAGUUACCAUAUGCUGUCCCAUUUAAAUUUGUCCCUUUUGGGGAUGGUAAAAAGAACCCAGAAAACCAUGAACUUCUGCACAUGAUCCAAAUUGGUGUAAGUAUAAACUACAAAACAGAGAGUAUUUAGAUUUUUCUUAACAUUACUAUAAUUAUUAAUUCUUUGGAUUACCAUCUUUAUACAGGAGUUUGAUGGUGUGGUUGGAGAUAUUACCAUCACCACUGGCAGAACAAAGAUGGUGGAUUUCACACAGCCAUAUAUUGAGUCUGGUUUAGUUGUGGUUGCACCAAUAAGGAAGUUGAACUCUAGUGCCUGGGCUUUUCUGAGACCUUUCACACCAAUGAUGUGGGGUGUCACAGGCAUUUUCUUCCUAGUUGUUGGAACAGUAGUUUGGAUUUUGGAGCGUAGGACAAACGAGGAUUUUCGGGGCCCUCCAAGGAAGCAAUUUGUCACAAUUAUUUGGUAAGUGCUUCAAUCCACAUCUUCAGAUGCAAAAUUUCAAUACAUUCCACAAAGAUUUUCUUGGUUUUUAAUCAUCUCUUGAUCUAAACUCUCUAAUUAGUAUAUAAUUAUUGCUUUCUUCUCACAGGUUUAGCUUUUCAACUCUGUUCUUUUCCCAGAGUAAGUGAAAUGAACCAAGAAGCUUAUAUUAUGUUAAAUGUUAUAUAACUGUUUGAUCUUACUCCUUAUUGGUAACAUAUGCAGAAGAAAAAACUGACAGCACGCUUGGUCGGUUUGUGCUAAUCAUAUGGCUAUUUGUAGUUCUAAUAAUCAACUCAAGUUACACUGCAAGCCUGACCUCAAUCCUCACAGUGGAGCAGCUUUCUUCCCCCAUUAAAGGCAUUGAAAGUUUAGCAACAGGCAAUGAUCCCAUUGGUUUCCCAAAAGGUUCCUUUGUCGGAAAAUAUUUGACAGACGAGCUAAACAUACACAGUUCAGGACUUGUUCCCCUUAACUCACCAGAAGAAUUUGAGAAGGCCUUAAAAGAUGGGCCCCGCGCAGGCGGUGUUGCUGCAGUGGUUCAGGAGCGUGCGUACAUGGAGCUCUUCCUCUCUGUCCGAUGCGGAUAUAGUAUUGUAGGUCAAGAAUUCACGAAAAUGGGGUGGGGAUUUGUAAGUAUCUUAUUCUUUCAUGUGAUCAUCCUCCCUUUAAAAUGCCAUUGCUAAACACAAAAUGACAUUCUUUUGAUUGCAUGUUGUGUAUGAUUGUUGGUUUUUUCAUGCAUUAGGCCUUUCCAAAGGACUCGCCACUAGCAACUGACAUGUCAACCGCGGUGUUGAAACUAUCAGAGAAGGGGGAUCUCCAAAAGAUUCGUGACAAGUGGCUGAUGAGAAGUGCUUGCAGUGCACAAGGAGCAAAGCAAUCGGUAGACCGCCUGCCACUGAAAAGCUUUUGGGGCCUCUUUGUGCUCAGCGGCAUAGCUUGCUUUCUUGCUCUCCUUCUUCAUGUUAUCACUACUACAAAAAAGCAAAAAGACGACGGUAAAUCACCGUCGUGUAUUCGAUUUUUCAAUGGUCGUGGAAUCCACCGUCAUCUUUUCCCUCAUAUACCACGACGCUAAAUCACCGUCGUUGUUAAAAUAUACAACGUCAUCAACAAAUACAAAACGACGUCUUUGUACUGCAAAAAGAUCUAAAAAAGCAGUCGAGGAUGAGAAUAGACGACCAACUCUCUAAAAAAACCGUCGUUAAAAAGGAAAAAUAUGACACAUAUUAAGAGAACAAGGCCGCAAGAUAGACAUACAACGACGGAAAUAAAAAACGACGCCGUUAAAUAUCAUUUUCACGACAAUAAAAAAUUUGACGUCUUUAAAUACAUUAGAAGACGACGUUAUUGAUACCUACUACGUCGCAUAUAUAAAAACAGCCGUCGUAAAAUUAAUUUUCCACUUCGAUUUUUCGAUAAAAGAUGACGUGGAAAUAGUUGUCAGUGUCAUUAUUUACGACGUAUGUAUUUAUUGAGUAGACGUUGAAAAACGAAACAACGUCGGUUACAAAUAUAUGAGAGUCGUAUUACAAAAUUUAUACGUCAUAUUUUCAGAAACAAACAACGACGAUAAAUAUUAGACGUUGUUAAAUAAAACAACAUCGGAAAACAAUAAAAACAGACGUGUUUAGUCUGCUAAAGUUCUAGAAAAUAGUCGAGGAUGAGAAUAGACGACCAACUCAAACAAAUCACCGUCGUUAAAAAGGAAAAAUAUGACACAUGUUAAAAGAACAAGGCCGCAAGAUAUACAUACAACGACGACAACUAAAAUUUUACGCCGUUAAAUAUAAUUUACACGAUAAGAAAAAAUAUGACGUCUUUAAAUACAUGAGAAGACGACGUUAUUGAAAUAUACUACGUCUCUUAUUUACAAACAACCGUCGUGAAAUAAAUUUUCCACUUCGAUUUUUCUAAAAAAGAUGACGUGGAAAUAGUUGUCAGUGUCAUUAUUUACGACGUAUGUAUUUAUACAGUUGACGUUGAAAUGCGAAACAACGUCGGUGGCAUUUAUAUAGUCGACGUUGUAUUUAUAUCUAUCAUCAUCACGACGCACUUAAUAAUAUAGACGACGUUGAACUUCUAAACAACGUCGGUUCCAAAUAAAUGAGAGCCGUAUUACAGAACAUAUAGACGGCGUUGAUUAUGAUGAGAGCCGUAUUACAAAUAACGUCGUUUAAUUGUUAUUAGACGGCGGUUAUAAUGAAUUUCCGUCGGAAUUCAUUUCGUUCCUCUUCGUUUAUAAAAGAACUUGCGACGUGGAAAAUGUAUGAUGACGUCGUAUUUUUUAACGUUCAGAUUAUAUAUCUCGUUUUUUAGACGUCGGUAUUAUGGGAUUGGAGUCGUGUUAUUUUGAAUUACAUGGCGGUUCUUAAUCCUUCCCCGACGUGAUAUCCUGAAUAAUUGCUUCACAAUUGCGUCGUGGUUCUUCAUUGUUACGUUGCUUUAAGACGUCGGUAAAUAUGCUGAAUAACUGGCUCACAAUAACGUCGUGUUUUAUUUGAACGUAGAAAGUGAAGAAAUCACAUUACAAUAUAUUACAAAAUUAAUGUCAUACACUGCCAAUUACAUAAGCAUCAUUCAAUCCAUAUAUCUUCACACCCAUCUCGAAUAUUUUGACCGCCUAACUCACCCACCAGUUCAUCAAAUGUGUCAACAUUUGGCAUCCCUCUAGUAAAUGGCUCACACUCAAUUAUCACAUCACCUAAGACUUCAUCACCAAUAACAUCAUUAUAUUCUCUAUUAGGCAUUGAUAACACUACCGACCAACCACGAUGCAUCGGGUCGUCAACAAAAAAUAUUUGUUUGACUUGAGAAGCCAAAACAAAUUGGUCAUUCCUAUGUCCAAUUUUACUCAAAUCUACAAGGGUAAAUCCAAGUUCGUCGACUACAAGACCAGAACUAUCUAUCCAAUCACACCUAAAGACUGGGAUUGUAAACUUUUGGUAGUCAAGGUCCCAAAUUUCUUGAAUGACACCAUAGAAACCCAUAUUUGAGAGAAUUGGGUUUUUAUCCUUGGCACUAGCAACUUGCAUGGUAUGUGCAAGUAAAUAAACUCCACUAUUUUGAGUUGUCCGCACAUCAUCUUGUGCCUUGAUAUUGAAUUUAAUACCUUUAAUAAGAUAGCUCCUAUAUAAUGGCACUGACAUGUUUGGACCAGCUGCUAGCCACCUUAAAUUUUCUGAUACGCCAUGAUUGUCUUCCUCAAGUUCACUUUGAACCUGCAAAUUAAUCAUAUCUUAAUUCAAUCUAACAUAUAAAUAAGAAGAAAAUUAAAAGAGAAAUAUGUUAUUCAACAAUAUAUACCUUGAAGCGUAGCCAUUGAAUGAAAGUGCUAUUGUGCUUAUCCUGCAGCCACUUUGUUCUCUUUCUAAAUUUUGGAUAAGCAGUCUUGAUGUGAAUCAUAUGUUGCCUACAUGACACGAAAAAUUCAAGCAUUACGGUCCUAAAUAUAGAAGAUAAACAUAAGAAAUAAUUUAAAAUGGAAACUUAAAGAAUAAAGCUCAUACGUACUCGAUAUAAGGUAGGACUUCCUCCGUAUUCUCCAAGACAUAUAGAUGUGCUUGAUUCAACAGGUCCUGAUCAACUACGCUCACUGUGCAACCUGAUAAUGGCUUUGAAAGUCCCAUCUUUUGGCUUGAAGGCACUCCAACUGUACUAACAUCAGAUAAAUGCUGAGUACAACACUCUACCGCUUCUUCAGCUAUAUACCGCUCAGCAAUGCAACCUUCGGGACGAGUACGAUUCUGAACAUACCCCUUCAGCACUUUCAUAUAUCUUUCAAACGGAUACAUCCACCUAAAAUAUACUGGCCCACAUAGACGAACUUCUCUGACAAGAUGUACUACUAGAUGAACCAUGAUAUCAAAGAAUGAAGGGGGAAAGUACUUCUCAAGCAAACACAGAGUAACUACUACAUCUUCUUCCAACUUAUCUAGCUUGGAAACAUCAACAGUCUUUGCACAUAUAGCAUUGAAGAAGAAGCACAAACGCGUUAUUGCAUACCUUGCAGGCUUCUCCAAAACAGAACGAAUUGCCACAGGGAGCAAUUGUUGCAUUAAGGUAUGACAAUCAUGUGAUUUAAGGCCAAGAAGUCUUGAAUCUUGUAAAGAUACAAGAUUUUUAAUAUUUGAAGAAUAACCUUCAGGGACCUUCAUACCAUAGAAAGAAUUGCAAACCUCUCUCUUCUCUGCUCUUGACAAAUUCCAAGGCCCAAGAGGCAAACGAGUACGUCUUUCUCCAUACUCGGGUUGCAAAUCAGUUUUGACCCCCAUGUUCAAUAAAUCUAAUCGAGCAGCAAUCCCAUCUUUAUUUUUUCCAGGGAUCUCCAGCAAUGUACCAAUGAUACUAUCGCAAACAUUCUUCUCAAUGUGCAUAACAUCUAGGGCAUGCCUUACAGGAAGGUAUUUCCAAUACUCGAGAUCAAAGAAUAUUGAUUUCUUCUUCCAACAAACUCUGUCACCAUUUUCAACCAUAUGCAGCACUUCUUCUCCGGUUAAUGGCUCGGGAGGUAUGCCAUAUUCAGGUUUCCCAUUAAAAGCUGCACGUUGCCUCCUAUAUGGAUGAUUGAUUGGUAACCAUUUUCUAUGCCCAAUGUAACAAAUUUUGUGGCCAUUUUUCAACCUGUGACUAGGUGUAUCAUCGCCGCAUAUUGGACAAGCUUUAUAUCCUUUAACAACACAACCAGAUAAGUUUUCAUAGGCGGGGAAAUCAUUAAUUGUCCACAUUAAUGCAGCUCUGAGUGUAAAGUAUUCUCCAUUAUGUGCAUCAUACACUCCUCUAAUCCCAACCCACAAGGAUUUUAAAUCAUCAAUCAAAGGCUCCAAGUAGACGUCUAUAUCAUUUCCGGGUUGUUUAGGACCGGAAAUCAAUAAGGUUAAUAUCAUGAACUUUCGUUUCAUGCACAGCCAUGGAGGGAGAUUAUAUGUAACUAAGAUAACCGGCCAACAACUAUAUCUGCUACUUAGAGAACUGUGGGGAUUGAAUCCAUCAGAUGAAAGAGUCAAUCUCAAGUUUCUCGGCUCAUUACCAAACUCAGGCCAUUUAUCAUCAAGAAGUUUCCAAGACGGGGAAUCCGCCGGAUGAGACAUCUGACCGUCAAUUGAUUUUCUAGCAGCAUGCCACCAAGUCAAACUCUUAGCUGUCUCAUGUGAUUGAAACAUCCUUUUAAACCUUGGAAUUGGGGGAAAAUACCACACCACCUUCGCUGGCACACCCUCUUUCAAGAUUGAAUCUUUGCCUUCCUUCCACCUUGAGAUACCACAAGUAGGACAAUUAGUUGAAUCCUCAUACUCCUUCCUAUACAAGAUGCAAUCAUUGGGGCAUGCGUGCAUUUUCUCAUAACUCAGCCCCAAUGCACACAAAGUCUUUUUAGCCUCAUACAUGGAGGUUGGUAUUGUAUUUCCUUCUGGAAGCAAAUCGCCUUGAAGUAUCAAUAAUUCUGUAAAACAGACAUCACUCAUCCCAUGUUUUGCCUUCAAAUUAUACAACUUCACUAAUGCCGAUAACUUCGUGUACUUUCUACAACCAGGGUACACUGGUUGAUCUCCAUCCCCAAUCACAUUGGCAAACUCAUACGGAUCCGAACCAAAAUCACCAAAAUCAUUAUCAUCCAUAUCAAUUUCUUCAGACACAAAACUGUACCUACUAUGGCCAUCAUCUUCUUCAACAUUUCUACUAGCAUUAGUAGUUGCUUCCCAAGGUUCUCCGUGAAAUGUCCAAUUCUUAUAGCUUUGGUCAAUUCCAUUAAAGUAUAAGUGAUCCCUUAUAAUUCCAACCUCAAACAACUUCAAAUUAACACAUUUAACACAUGGACAACGGAUAUGUGUUGUAGUUAGAAGAUUUUCUAUAGCAAAGUUCAAAAAUGCUUCCACCCCAAAUUCAUAUGCCUUCGAUCUUCUAUCCGAUGCAUCCAUGACUUAUCCAUCUCCGACACUAUAACCUAUUAUCUAUAAUAAAGUGAAAAUACAGGCAAUGACCAUCACUAUAGCAGAUUAUACAAUGAUCUAAUCGCAAGUAAUACACAACAGAGACGACGGGUUUUAAACAAAAACAGACGUAUUUGGCAUAUAUAGACGACGGAUUUUCAACAGACGUCGUCUAUUAUAAGUAAUACAAACGACGGUUUAUGAAAAAACCGUCGUGUAUAAGUAAUACAACGAUGGUAGUUUAAAAACACCGUCGUGUAAUCGUCGUCGUAUGCCUUAAAAUUCGUCGUGUCUCAGUUUAUUUUCAAGAACACAAAACCCAUUAAGAACACAACAUAUAUAUGAAACCAAGCAAGAAACCAACAUAUACAUGAAACCAAGCAUGAAAACAAUAAAUCCAUUCCCAAUUCAACAUAACAUAGGGUGAUUAAAAGAUACGACAAAAUUAAAUCCAUUCCCAAUUCAACAUAACAGAUAAUGUAAUCCAUGAACCCAUUAAACAGAAAAUCCAUGAACCCAUACCUAUAAGCACAUUAUUAACAGAUCGCAAAGCAUAUACCUAAAACCCUUUAACAAAACAACCUAAUAUCAUUCAAUGAAUUUACAAGGGGAAGAUAGGGUUUGUACUUACAGGUUGGACGAGCUCACAGAUUCGACGAGCCUGGAGAGUGCAACUUUUAAUUAGAGCAGAAGUGAGAGAGCGAAAUGUUAUGUCGCGUGAAAUCUGAAAUUUUAGGUUUCAGGGAUCAAAGUAUAAGACUAAGAGCCAAAUCUAAAAAAAUUUAGGUCGCGCGAAAAUUUUUAGAGCGCGCGCGUUAUAAAACGUCGAAAGAAAAACCAAGGCGAAAGUUCUACAAGUACCGACGUAAAUUUAAUAUUCCACGACGGAAACUUCAUUUUUCGGAUUAAGAACGUAAGGCCGUUCAUUUUUCGGAUUAAUUUUAAAUUUAUUUUGAAUUUUUUAUAUAACGACGACUGAAAAACCACGUCGGUGUUAAGAAAUUAAAGACGUUGUAAAUUAUAUAAACCGACUUACAUAUUAAAAUAACGUCGUUUAAAGCGUAAACCAUGUCGUAUGUUUUACUGUACGACGUAAAAUAUGUAUUCCACGACCCAACCACCGUCGUUAAAAAUUAAUACACUAAACCCAUAAAAUUAAAUUAUACAAUUUAAAAAAUUAAGUUUAUAAAAGGUUUUAUGGUUUUAAAGCCUAACAUAUAACAUAGACUACCCAAAAAUUAUACUUUAAAAAUAAACCCCAAUAAAUAACAACACUAAUCUCUAAACCCUAGACUCUAAACCCUAAACCAUUAAACUAGAAGUGAUUUUAUGACUCAUCAAACAAUUUUGUUUUGGAUGGUCAUUUUAAAUUUUUGUUAUUCAAAAUGAAUUUUUUCAAGGUUUAUGUGGAAGAAAUAUAUCAAUGACUUCAUAGGAGUUGACUUUUCAAUUUUCUGAUUUAUUUUAAAUUUAUUUUGAAUAUUUUGAUAUAAAAAUAAUAAAAUAUUCUUACCACAACAACAAACCACGUCGGUGUUAAUAAAUUGUAGACGUUGUAAAUUGUAAUAGACUACUAAGUCGUUAAAAUGACGUCGUUAAAAUGAGAAACCAUGGCGGCUAUUUAACUAUACGACGUAAAAUAUAUAUAUCAACGACUUAACCGCUGUCGUUACAUAAACGUCGUCGAUGAUACCCUGAACCCUUAAGAAAUUGAAGAUGUUGUAAACCAUAAACGACUCAAUUGUUCAAAGAACGUCGUCUAACUAUAUUUUUACGUCGUAUUUGUUUAAAACACGAAACAACAAAAUACGACGGUUUUUGACUUUAUUAGGUCGUUGGAAAAGUAUUACACGUCGGUUAAGCAAUUUGUAUGUUUGUUUUUUUUUUAAUUUAAGAAAACCUCAACAAAUUUUUACAUUACAUAUUAUAGAGAAAAUUUGUACAUUAUACAUAAAUAUCAAGUGUUCAAUAAUUGCCCUGUUUAAUAAUUUGGAAAACAAACUCUGCCCAUUCAUUCCGGACUUCAUCAAUGGCUUCUUGGGGGUAUGAAGCUUCCUGGUUUCCCUUGGCAUACUGCAUAAACAAUGACUAUUAGGGUUUAUAAAUAAAAAGAAAUUCAAUCACAGACGACGAUAUUUUUCAUAACCGACGUAGUAUAUCCAUUCAACGACGUUAAUUUUACUUGACCGUCGUUGAUAAUACAAAAAACGACGUGAAAUGUAUGAAGGUAAUUUCUUCUUACCUUAUUCUCAAACCCCAAGGAAGGAUCCAUGAUGAUGUCCCUCAUGAAGCGCAUCACAUAAUACCCGCAUUCGACAUUGCUGGGUUGCUUUGGUGUGCCUGAGAGAGUUUUCCAAAUUACAUUUUUACGUCCUGCUCGGCCUAUGUGGGUAUUAUAUAUUUUUAAAGCACUGUUCACGAUGUUUUUCGCCUCUUCGUCGACCACACGAUGACCUGACAGAGGAUCCAGAAAAUAGACGGUCUCCUUCUUUGCUCUUACAAUCAGCAAGAUCCAAUGACGGCUGCACAAAAUUAAUAUAAAAACGACGGUUAUUUACAAAAACGACGUAUUAUAGUAUUUCACACGACGAAAUAAAGUAGAUAACGACGACAUUAUAUAUUUAUCUCGACGACAAAUAAAUACCGACGUGGUUAGUAGUUUCAAACGACUAAAUAAAAUAAAACACCGACGUGGUUAGUUUAUAAGCUGUCAUUUAUUGAAAAUCAUAAAAACAAAAUCCUAAGGAGACUAACCCUGGAUUGUAAGGCAUCAUGAAAAGCUGUUCACCGUCUGUCUUCUGAAGUCGAGCUGCUACCAGUCGUGAUCUUUCAGUUAUUGUGCCAGAGUUGGCACUAACUGUAGCAGGGUCAAUAAAGCCAACCAUGCUGCACAUAUUGGCUUGUUUCAAAACAUCGUGUAAGUACCUAAAUACAUAAAAUAAUAUAAACAAGUCAGCAAAAACAAACACGACGGUUAUGUAUAAAAAAACGACGUAUUAUAAUAUUUCACACGACGUACUGAAAUAGAUAAGGACGUUAUAAUAUAUUUAUCACGACGGUAGUUAGUUAAGACGACGUGGUUAGUUAGUUAAGACGACGCAAUAUAUAAACCAACGAGUUAUUAUCUUAGAAGUACAAACCUCAUAUAUACAGCCAAUACAGUAGCUCCAAUUUCUUCCAUGCCUGCAAAUUGUGUAAUAUCUUCAGGCAGGAGGAAGGUAUCGCGCUCACCACCAAACACCUCCUUAUCAAUUGUAAAUUGGAGUGUCUUAUCCUCAGGCAGGAGUGUCGUUUCCACAAAACGACAAAGGGUUUUUAAAGAAGAUGGCGCCUCCAUAUUUGAAUAAGCACCAACUUCAAUAACCUGUUUAAAGAAAUAAAAAAAAUGACGUGGUAAUUCAAUAAAGACGACGGUUUAAGGAAUAAAACGUCGUCUUAAAAGGAUUUAAACGACGGUGAAAAAACUGUCGUGGUAAUUCAAUAAAGACGACGGUUUUAUUAAUAAAGCGUCGUCUGAAACCAUUUAAACGACGGUGCAAAAACCGUCGUUUAAAUAUUUUAUUACGUCUUAAAAAAAGUCCGCCGUCUAAGUUUUAAACAAACGACGGAUUAAAUAAAAAUAUCGACGUCUGAAAUUUUGAAAAACAAAUAAAAAAGGCAAAGUUAUGUGAACAUACCUUGUCGUCAUGAAAUUUUGAAAAACAAAUAAAAAAGGCAAAGUUAUGUGAACAUACCUUGUCGUCAUGCUUUUCUUCAUCUUCUUUCUCCUUUUCUUCUUCCUUCUCUUCAUCUCUUUUUUCUUCUUCCUUCUCUUCAUCUGGCUGAUGUUUCCCCAUUUUGGCAGUAUCAUCCUCCAAAUGUAGGGAUCUCACAUCACCUCCAGAGCAGCUAGCUUUGUCAGACAUUGGAUUUUUGGGGCUUUGGCUAAUUCUUGGUUUAAGCAUGCUUGGAUCAAAAUUGGGAAUUAAUUGGGAAAGCUGACUCAGGAAAUGCUCCCUCUCAGCCUCUACCAAUUGUUUUGUCCUAGCCUCCAUCCUUAAGGCCUCUUCCUUUGCCUUAGCCUCCAUCUUUUUAGUCUCUUCUUGAAGGAGAACUCUUAAACUGUCCUUCAAACGGUCGUCAAAGCUCACCCUCUGUGGUUUGGGCAAAUUGAAAUAUUGCCUUGGGGAAACACCAGCACCAACUCCCCUCAGUCUGCCUGGAUGCUCGGGGCCCAAAGCCAUGGUCAGCACAUCAUUGCUGCCAUCUACUCUGACUUUGCCUUCCGAGACUUGUUUCUGCAAUUCAUCCUAAAAAAAGAUAAACAAAAAAACACACGACGGUUAUUUAUGUACAAACGACGUAUUAUAUAAUUUCACACGACGCAAUAACGUAUAAACCGACGUUAUUAUAACUUAUCACGACAGUAGUUAUACCGACGUGGUUAUUUCUUUAAAACGACGAAAUGAAUAAACAACCGACGUCUUAUGCUAUAAUUAAAGAUAACAGAGUAGUGAUUCCUAUUUAGACCGUUAACGACGUUUUUAAAAAAGUUUCGACGUGGUAAUAUCAUUCACACGACGCGAAAAUGAACCACCGACGUCUUAUGCUAUAAUUACAGAAAACAUAGUAGUGAUUCCUAUUUAGACCUUUAACGACGUUUUUAAAAACUUUUCGACGUGGUAAUAUCAUUCACACGACGAAAAAUAUAACAUACGACGGUUUAAUAAAAAUUCACAGUUUAAUAAAAAUUUAAAACAGAGUGAUAGUAGGCUUACAAUUAAUUUUGCUUUCUCUGCCACCUUUGGAUCAGGGAUGUUACCAUGUUUGUCCUGUCUAGCUCUCUUCCAUAAGGUAGAUCGAUCAAUUUCUACCCCAGGCAUGGUUUCCUCCAAUUGAUCCUCCAAUCCAGCAUAUCCUUUUCGAGACAAUCGAUGAUUGUACUCGAGUUUCUCCCUAAUCUGUGCAUGUUGAGAAUGCACAGACUCAAAAUCUUUGGAUAGCCUUGAAGCUACAAAGGCAUCCCAUUGUGCUUUCUCUAUGAAUUUAUAUGUUUCAGGGGGUUGGCUUAAUUUCUCCCUGUCAUUGGUGUAUGGAAGGAUAUAAUGCCUCGUUAGUGUAGACUUGAAAUCCUUCCAUUUCUUGGAAGCAGAAGCUAAAACAGAGGUCUUGCCCCCUUGGCCUACGACAAAAGCCAUGUCAACUGCUUCCCAAAUCUGCUCCUUUAUAUCCUUGGGGAUUUGGGACCAUUUCUUGUCCACAAGUGGGAUCCUGGAGCGUGCCAACACACCAAUAUACGACUGCAUCUCAAUAUGUGCUUGGCCAACACCUUUCCCCCUUUUAUUGUACUCAACAAUUGGCCUCAGUUUCUGAAGCUUUCUCUUCACAACACGAGGCAUUGUGCUCAUACCUCGACCAGUCUUUGAAUCAUCAGAGAUUGUUGUCUGGCUGGUUUGUUCUGUCUCAGCAGAUGAUGAAGCAAACUUCAUCUUCUUCGAAGACUUCAUCUCCUUCGAAGACUUGUCUUGAGGAGCUACCAUUCCAAGCUUCUUGGAGCCAGAAUCCUUAGUUUGUUGUUGAGAAACCAUUUUAACAGACAAAACUGCAAGUGAAAAUAUUUCAGGAAAACAUUAAGAACACAAACGACGGUAUUAAAAAAAUACGACGUAUGAUAUGAUUUUAGACGACGCAAUGAAAUAAUCUCAGACGUAAUAAAUGUUUAAAACCAUUAUUUAUAUAACGUCGUGGUAUAUAUGUUCACACGACGUCAAUAGUAAUACACCGUCGUGGUAAACUAUUAUUUAUAUAACGGCGUGGUAUUUAUGUUCAUACGACGUCAAUAGUAAUACACCGUCGUGGUAUUAACAUUCACACGACGUAAAACAAUAAGAUAUUUUGUCGUCUAUAUUAGAUACCAACCCUAGUUUCUUUUUCUUUAUAUUUUAUCAAAUAAGGGAAAAACAAAAACCAUUGUUCAGAGAAAUCAAACCUGCAAUUAAACAAGCAUAUAAAAAAAGACUAUUAUUUUAAAAACAACUUUGUCAAUUUUCAGACGACGCUAGAACAACUGACGAACCGUCGUGGUCUACGGUCGUCUUAUUUAGUUGAUGUAGUUGUCUUCAAAGUUGGAAACUUUCCCUCUUUGUCUGUAUAUUUUAUCAAACUUGGAAAGAAGUAAAAUGAUUUUGGCCAGAAAAAAGGUCAAAAGAUUUUUCAAACAAAAAACGUAUGAGCAUGCAAAACAGUAACCAAAAUAGUGAAAAUGAAAGCUUACCUUUUGCGUGCAAUGAAAGCAAGAGGAAGAUGAUCGAUGUUUAAGUUCAGAGACGACGAAGAAGACGAGAGGAAGACGAUGAGAAACUCUGACAAUGCUCUGACAAGGAAAAAAGACGAAAAGGUUUCUCUGGGAGAUUGAAAUUUUUAAUCGGGUUUGGAAACAGUGCAUGUGUAAGUCGAAAAGUUGCUUACAUAUAAAACCAUUUCAAAAAAAUAAUACGGCGGUUACAUUUAACUACGUCGUUUUUAACUAACACGACGCAAUAUUUUUCGUUCGACAUGGAAUCAUUUCAUUUAACGUCGUUAGGUUUAAUAUAACCGACGUGGAUUUUAAUUUUUAAAUUAUGAAUAGAAUUUUUUUUCCCGUGACCUUUCAGUUUAUUUUUCAAUUACAGUGCGUUAUAAAUAGAGUUUUUUUUCCGGAGGAAAUUUAAAACGAAGGAAAUUAAUAUUCUGCAAUAUGUAAAGUUUCUUUUUUGGAUGACAGAUUUAAAUAAAAUAAGAAUAUAAAAACAACAAAUGUGUAAGUCAAGUAGACGAAAAGUUGCUUACAUAUAAAACCAUUUCAAAAAAAUAAUACGGCGGUUACAUAUAACUACGACGUAUAAAUUACAAAAUACGACGGUACAUUUAACUUCGGACGUGGUAAAUAAAUACGACAGUAGUUUGUAGGUACCGUCGUAGUAAACUCAAAAAUUAAAGUACAUAAGUAAUNNNNNNNNNNNNNNNNNNNNNNNNNNNNNNNNNNNNNNNNNNNNNNNNNNNNNNNNNNNNNNNNNNNNNNNNNNNNNNNNNNNNNNNNNNNNNNNNNNNNUCGGAUUUGUGAUAGCCUCUUCCUUUAUCCGUAGAGCUUCAGAAGAAGAAGAUGGGUUUCAAGAAUGCGAUAAAGAAUAGAAAUGGCUUCAGAUGGCCUCUAAAGCAUGAGCAAUUGAAUCAGUAGUUUCUGGGAGAUAUGAUGAAGACAUUGUCAAUGCUUUGAACUACACAAGUCCUGCAGAAAGAUAUGUUAAAGAAACUGAAACAACGGCGGUUUUCUGUUCUACCGUCGUCUUUUCUCGUCGUCUAUAUUAAGUUAAGAUGGCGGUAGAUUUAUAAUUACCGACGUAGAUUAUUUUGUUAAACGUCGUUAAGUGUACUACAACCGACGUGGAUUUUAAUUUUAAAUUAUAAAUAGAGUUUUUUUUCCCGUAUUCUUUCAGUUUUAGUUUUCAAUUCCAAAGCGUGAUAAAUAGAUUUUUCUUUCCCGAGGAAAUUUAAAAUGAGGGAAAUUAAUGUUCUAGAAUUUGUAAACUAACACGACGCAAUAUUUGCAAAUCUGUGUCAUCUGUUAAGAUUAUGAUGUGGAACAGAGUUCCAUCUGGUAAGAUUUCGUAACCCUUGGGAUCUCAGACAAAUCUGAUUAUGUCGGCGGUGUUCUAUAUAAACUGUCGUGGUUAUUUCAAUUCUUGUCAUUAAGUAGAUCUACCGACGUAGGAUAAGAAAAUCAAAGAAAAAAAUUGUUAACAAAAAUUCUUAUUAAGACGACCGUUAAAAUUAAAGGUACGACGUAUAAAAUGAAUAAAUACGACGAUAAAUUUUAUUGUACGAUUUAAAGAUAACGUCGUAGAACUAUACGAGAAUGACGUCGUUAUAUUUAUAUUUUCCGUCGUUGUAAAUUAAUUUAAUACGGCGAUAUUUUGUAUUUUAAAGCCGUGGAUUUGUUUGUAAUUAUACGGCGUCUUAUACGAAAACCUCGUCGUGUUAUUUUAUGAGUAAAAACGGCAGUUUUUAUUGAAAUCGUCGUCUUUACUUUCUACGUCGGUCGAUUCAUAACUUCUGCCGUUCUUUGUUGGCAUUGAUUUUACACUGCGGAAAUCUGUUUCAAAUAGACGUCGGUUGUUUAAUUAUGUACGUCGUUGUUUUUGAACAGCCAUUUGAAACUCCAUUUUUUAGUUGUCUAAGGUUGUAUUACACGACGGUGUUUUUAGAACCGUCGUCUUUUUAUAAACCACGACGGUUUUCACUUAGACCGUCGUUGUUUUCUGGUCGUCUUUUUCACUUUUUGUAGUAGUGUAUUCGCCUUGUGCAAUUCUACAGGUAUUCAGAUUCAUGCUGUGAGAGCCCACAGUCUAGACGUCUUCGAUCAUUUGUUUCAUUUGCAAAUAAAAGGGAACAAGAAGUGAAAAGCCGACCCAAGAGAAGGAGGACUGAGAAAGCCUCAAACAAAAUAGUGCAUGAAACGGUUUAAUCAGAUGACAGAGUUCUCUUUUACAUCAGUAUGUCUUGAAGAAACUUAAUUCAGUCUAUUUAAUUAUGAACUGAUGACAAGUUAAAUGAAGUAACUUGUAUCAAACUCUCUCUGUGGAAGACUGAUAGAUAUACAGGUGGCUUUGUGUUAAUAACGUGCAUGCGAGUGUUUUGCUUUCUUUGUUGCAACUUGCAAUGGUGGUCCAAAAAGGCAUUUUAAUUAAUUAUUAAUUUCCAAAAGCUCCUGGUAAAUUCCAAUAUUCAACCUUUAACCUUCCUGUGUAAAAAAACCUUUCACCCUCCCACCAAAGAGGAAAGAGCACUCAAGAGAUCGAUGGUUCCACGCCUGAAAAUGGACUUAAUCUCUGCGUCAAUUAUUCAUAUAUGAUGUGCAUCGAAUACAAGCAACAACAAUUGCUUGGAUAUAUGAUGAUGUAUAGCAACAACAAUUAUUCAAGCACUGGAAAGUGUAGAAAGCGUAGAAGAAGAGAAGAGAUUUUUUACCUCCACUUGACAAGCAUAAACGUUCAAGGACUAGAAAGCGUAGAGCACGUUCAAAGUUUCUAGGGUUCACAUAAGAUUUGUCAAACUCUUUUGUAUUUAUACUUACCACUUUAUUUUCUAACGAAAUCGGGCAACUUAUUAAUUCCUUCAAAUAAAUUACUUUUUGAAUACACCUAAAUUUUGUCUGACUUUUAAAAAGUCAUAAUUGAAUACACCUAGAUUUCGAUGUAUUUUUUUAAUAUCAAUUGAAAUCUGAAUUGAAUACACCCAAACUUUUACAAACUCUUUUAAAAUCUGAAUUGAAUACACCCAAACUUUUAAACUCUUUUAAAAUCUUAAUUGAAUACAACCCCCCUUAGUCUAUGCGGAAGCAAAAUAAUUAAGCCAAUCAAUUUGAGAAUUAUUUGAUUCUUACUCUAAUUGGGGAUUUGAUUUGAAUCAAAUCCCUAAUUAAAUCAAUAGAAUAAUUCCUUUCCAUCUGUGGAAUUAUUCUUUUGAAACCCUAGCCAUUGAGACUCCUAUAAAUAUAUGGCUACACCAAGUGUUGAGGUAAUUCUAAACUUUUGUCUGAAACUCUGCAGAAAUCCUCUUUCAUAAACCCUAGCCGCCCUACUCUUUCUCUCUCUCACACAAGGCUCCGGCCACCACACACGGCUUCGGCCACCCGGUUCUCACUCUAGAGAAAUCUCCGUAUCUUUUGUUAGCUAUUGUUUUCCUACAAACACUCGACCUAACUUAGGCAUUGGAGCGCCUUCGGCCAACACCCCCGGGUGUGGUUUUUUACUCCAUUUUUGUGAGGACAAAGAGAAGCGAAGAGGAAGAUGGAAUCUUCAGACAAAUAUUCUUUGGGGACGAAAAUCGUCUGAAGAUUUUGCUCCAAUGCCUAAGUUAGGUGUAGUGUUUGUAGGAAAACAAUAGCUAACAAAAGGUACGGAGAUUUCUCUAGAGUGAGAACCGGGUGGCCGAAGCCGUGUGUGUGAGAGAGAAGGAGUAUGACGGCUAGGGUUUAUGAGAGAGGAUUUCUGCAAAGUUUCAGACAAAAGUUUAGAAUUCCCUCAACCCUUGGUGUAGCCAUGUAUUUAUAGGAGCCUCGGAGACUACGGUUUCGGAAGAAUAAUUCCACAGAUGGAAAUGAAUUAUUCUUUCCCAAUUUGGAGAACUUGAUUUAAUUAGGGAUUUGAUUAAAAUCCCCAAUUAGGGUAAGAAUCAAAUAAUUUCAAAAUUGACUGGCUUAAUUAUUUGACCUAGGAUCCUUAGAUAUUUUGCUUCCACACUACUAAACAAAGGUUAUAGCUUUCAACCAUCUUUCUGGAUUGAGAUUGAGACAUCACACUAAAUCCUCCUCCUAGUGUAAAGUAAACAUACUUACAGUUACUGGCCCUGCUUGUUGGAGAUCUUAUAUAUAUUUGGCUUAAGACAGCAAAUAAUGUAAGCUUCAUUCAUUUUUACUUAUGUCCUCCUUCAAGUUUACGUUAUUCAUAGUGGUUAAUGAGAUAUUUGGACAACUUCAAGGCAUGUUUUUUUAGUAUGAGCCAGUAUCUGUCUUUUGGAGCCUAUUUACUUCUUCUUCUUCUUCUUGUUUCUGUGUGUGUGUGUGUGUCAAUUUUUAUGAGAAUUUUGCACCUCUCAACUUUUAUCGGUGAAGAAAACAGGACAGCCACAAAACCAUUUUGCCACUGAAAAUUCAGAGGUCGUCAUCUACAUGUCAUGGGACACACUCUCAUCACAACCAAUAGUGUCUCUUCUUUCUACCUGGUAUAAAUUUCCAACCCACAUCAUCUGCAUGACAAUACUAUUAUCUUCAUUAUACACCAGCAAUUUCAGAACUUUCUACUUAUUAUAGUUUCAGAUGUAAAUGCUUGACCAUUAUUGCUUAGCGUAUAGCGUUACCUCUUUGAUGCAUAAAGCUCUGAAGUUUAUGACAUUUUGCUUUAUAAAUUCCUUUCAUCUUCUUUACUAGAAAAUCCAGUUGGCCAAUUUCCUGAUUAUACUUGAAAUAAGUUUUUAUUCCCAAAAGGGUUCUUUGGGUUCAAGUCACAAAUGCUGUGUAACUGUUUUAAUCUAGUAAGAGAAAGUAGAAAUUUCUGGGACUAGUUCUGGUUCAGUCUUUGGAUUAAGGCAGUGGCUGCAUUGUUAGUUGUCUUUUCAUCUGGAUCAAACUUCUAAAGGUCCCUUUUUCACUGUUUUUUUUCCCUUGCUCUAAUUCUCUUUUACCGUUAAAUGUUGCUAGAAUAUGCAUAUAGGUGUGAGCCCAGAAUUGUGUCCGUAUUAAACUUUCUUCCUUUUUCCUCAAAGUAAAAAUCUUUCCUCACAAGCUGCUUUUUACUUUCAUUUUAUGUCUGUUGUCUCUUCAUGGGUCUGAUUAGUUGGUAAUUUGGCAGAAAACUCUACGUUAUGGGCUCAAUUUAUCAUUUGUCUGUUUAUGUUUCAUGAUUAGAUCUAGUUAUUAGUGGGAAUUUCUAUUCAUUUAUUUACUUCUUGUGGAGUUUAUGAUGUUGAGCUUACGUGUACAUACUCUUUCAGCACCUAGUUGUUCUCUUCAUGUUACUGGAUGAAAUUCUUAGUUGCUUGCUUAUUUUUUGGUGUUUCUUAACUAUGCCAGUGUAUGAGUUUGAAGUCCAGUUGAUUCUACCAGUUUCUGGGUGGCUGGUGUGCUUCCUUUGCAAAGCAAGGUGAAAAUUGGGGUUUAUGAUGAAUAUAGUUUUGCUCUUGGUGUUGAUGGUUUUCUAUAAUGGAUCUUCUUCUAGUGGACUUGGUACUAAUGUUACUGCAAGACCUGACACCGUGAACAUUGGUGCUAUUUUCCCUUUCGAUUCUGUCAUUGGCGAAAUUGCAAAACUUGCAAUAUCCAUUGCAGUUGAAGAUGUUAAUUCCGAUCCAAAACUCCUCAAUGGAACAAAACUGAUACUCAAGAUUCAGAACAUCAAAUCUAGUGACUUUCUGGGAAUCGUUGAGCAGGGUACAAAAUUGUUGACUUUCCUAUGUCUCCUAGAAGUUCCCUUACAUAAGUCAUAGAAUCUAAGAAUUAAGUUGAUAUUUUUGUUGUUCCUUCACAGCUUUGCAGUUCAUGGAGAAUGACAUAGUAGCCAUACUUGGCCCCCAAUUCUCAGCUACCGUUCGUGUGGUCUCACAUAUUGCAAAUGAGCUACACGUCCCUUUGUUAUCAUUUGCAGCAACAGACCCCACACUGUCUCCAGUUCAGUUCCCUUUCUUGGUUCGGACAGCACAAAGUGAUCUCUUUCAGAUGACUGCAGUAGCAGACCUUGUUGCUUUCUAUGAGUGGAGAGAGGUCAUAGCAAUUUACAUAGAUGAUGAUUUUGGGAGAAAUGCCAUUGCUGCUUUAGGGGAUAAGCUAGCUGAGAAACGAUGCAAAGUUUCAUACAAAGUGCCUCUGAACCCCAAAGCAACAAAAGAUGAUAUUACCAAAGCACUGAUUCGCACAUCUUCGAUGGAGUCUAGGAUUCUCAUCGUACAUAUUUAUACCAAUUGGGGUCUUCAAGUGUUUAGUGAAGCACAAAACCUCAUGAUGAUGGGGAGUGGAUAUGUAUGGAUUGCUACAGAUUGGUUGCCUACCAUAUUAGACACAGAUCCUUCCCUACCAACAAAGGACAUUCAAGGGGUUCUUACAUUGCGCAUGUACACACCAGAAUCGGAACUCAAAACAAAAUUUAAAUCGCGGUGGAGCAAUUUGACAAGAGCGAGAAGAGUUAAUGGCUCUUCUUUCGGGCUAAAUACGUAUGGUCUAUUUGCCUAUGAUUCUGUAUGGCUUCUUGCUAAUGCCAUUGAUUCAUUUUUUGCUCGUGGGGGAAAUGUCUCAUUCUCCAAUGACUCAAACUUAAGCAAUUUACAAGGAGGAAGGUUGAAUCUUGAUGCUUUGAAAUUUUUUAAUUGUGGAAGCCAGUUGCUCCGAAGCAUUGUAGAGGUUGAUACAACUGGUGUAACUGGGCCAAUUAAGUUCAACGCAGAUCGGGACUUGAUUAAUCCUGCAUUUGAAGUCAUCAAUGUGAUUGGCACAGGGACUAGGAAUAUUGGUUAUUGGUCCAAUUCUUCUGGCCUAUCAAUUGACCCUCCAGAAAAGCCCCAAAAUAAGUUGCAGUAUAAUGGUUCCAGUACCAGUAUUCAGCGACUAUACAGCGUUAUCUGGCCUGGACAGACAACUCAGAAGCCUCGUGGGUGGGUUUUCCCUGACAAUGGAAAAAAGCUCAGAAUUGGAGUUCCACGUCGAGUUAGCUACUGCGAGUUUCUGAAUGUGAAAGGCACUGAUAUCACUGGUUAUUGCAUUGAGGUCUUCCAAGCUGCCUUUAACGAGUUGCAAUAUGGAGUGGCAUAUAAGUUUGUCCCUUUUGGAGAUGGGAAAAAAAACCAAGAACCCAGUGAACUUCUGCGCCGUAUGCAAAAUGGUGUAAGUAUAAAUUACAAAAUAAAAUUAUUUAGACUUGCUUAACAUAUAUUGUAUGCAUGUUUCUCAUCUUAAUAUAGUUUUUUGGUUUUCCAUAUUCAUGCAGGAGCUUGACGGUGUGGUAGGAGACAUUACCAUUACCACUAGCAGAACAAAGAUGGUGGAUUUUACACAGCCAUAUUUUGAGUCUGGACUUGUUGUAGUUGCUCCAAUAAGGAAAUUGAACUCUAGUGCUUGGGCUUUUCUGAGACCUUUUACCCCAAUGAUGUGGACCGUCACAGGUCUUUUCUUCCUAGCUGUGGGAGCAGUUGUUUGGAUUUUGGAGCGUAGAACAAACGAGGAUUUCCGGGGCCCUCCAAGAAAACAAUGUGUCACAAUUCUAUGGUUAGUGUUUCAAUCCAUAUAUCAAAAUGCAAAUGUAGCAAAUUAUAUACAAGUAUUUCCUUGGGUGGUUGAUCUUCAUCUCUUUAAUUGGGACGAACUCCCCAACUGGUAUGUCAUAUAUUAACUCUGUUCUCUGGGGGGCUUUGCAGGGUAAGUUUACUACAUAGCGCUUUAGUUCUGUAUCCGUGCUACUUGACUUAUACAUCUAUAGGGAAACUUGUGUUAUGCAUCAAUCUUACAAAUAUAACUGGUUCUUAGUCUUUUGUAACAUAUACAGGAGAAGAAACUGGCAGCUCUCUUGGUCGCUUUGUGCUCAUCAUAUGGUUAUUUGUAGUUCUAAUAAUCAACUCAAGCUACAUUGCAAGCCUGACAUCAAUCCUCACAGUGGAGCAGCUUUCUUCCCCUAUUAAAGGGAUUGAAAGACUAGUAACAGGCAAUGAUCCCAUUGGUUUCUCAAAUGGUUCCUUUGCUCAAAAGUACUUAACCGAUGAGCUAAACAUACACAGUUCCAGACUUGUGCCCCUUAACUCACCAGAAGAAUUUGAGAAAGCCUUGCAAGAUGGUCCCAAUGCAGGUGGUGUUGCAGCUGUGAUUGAUGAGCGUGGAUACAUGGAGCUCUUCCUCUCCAACAGAUGUGGAUACGGUAUUGUAGGUAAAGAAUUCACCAAAAUGGGGUGGGGUUUUGUAAGUAUCACAUUCUUUCAUGGCCUUUUGUAUAAUUGAUUCUCGAAAAUACAUGUUAGACGACUGUAGAGAUUCACAAUCUGACAUGCUAUUUGCCAAACUGUUAAUUUUUGAACUGACUGAUUAGGCCCUUCAUGGCCUUUUUCUGCUGUGAUUAAUAGCAUGUUGCUGGUUUUUCAUUAGGCCUUUCCAAAGGAUUCUCCACUAGCAACUGAAAUGUCAACCGCGAUAUUGAAACUAUCAGAGAGGGGGGAAAGAUUCAUGACAUGUGGCUGAAAAGAAGUGCUUGCAGCGCAGAAGGAACAAAGCAAGCAGUAGACCGCCUACCAUUGAAAAGCUUUUGGGGCCUCUUUCUGCUAAGCGGCAUAGCUUGCUCUCUUGCUCUCAUUCUUCAUGUUAUUCGAAUCGUGCAUCAAUACUACAAGUAUUCAGAUUCCGACUGUGAGACCUCACAGUCUAGACGUCUUCAAUCCUUUGUUUCAUUUGUAAACAAAAGGGAACAAGAAGUGAAAAGCCGAGCUAAGAGGAGGAGGACAGAGAAAUCAUCAAAUAAAUUAUUGCAUGAAGAUAGCUCCAUCAGUGGUUUGGAGGACCAAAGUGUUUAAUCAGUGUAUUUAAUUAGGAAUGGGACUUGUAUCAAGCUCAUGUAUGUGUAUAAUAUCAAAUAGCUCUUCUAUAUGCAUCUCUGCAUGCUUUGAACAUCUUUGAUGACUGCAAAUUAGAGCAUAAUUGAAUUAAUAAAUCAAAUUAGUACUUAUCUUCCAUAUAAUAAGGCUUCAAUGCUGUGGUCGGUGACAUCAAGAAUCAGCACAAGCCGAACAAAAAUGAUGGAUUUUACUUUUACACAACCAUGUGUUUUAAUACUUGUUCAACAUAUAUAUAUAUAUAUAUAUGAUAUAUACACGCACAUAGAGAAAACGGUCUACAAGCACUAGCAUAAUUGAGAUUUACGCAACAGGUGCAGAUCACGGUGUUGGAUCACUGUGUUGACCUGUGGUGGGCUGCUUGCGUGGACAGUGGACUUGUUAGCCCACGUUAUUAACAUGCCAUGCCCUUAUAAUUGCGUUGUGGAAUGUUAAUAUAAUAAUGCAUAUGACAUAGUGUUACGAGUUCAUACAAAUUAUAACACGUGCACGGGCACGGGUUAUAAUUUGUGAGAUAAGGAGGAUUGAUUUGAAGUCUGCGGAAAUAUGUGGGUUUCUUGAAAUGACAGAAACCCCUCUCGCUCACCCAAUGGAGCUUGGUUGUUGUCGCUUGAUAUUUUUCUGCAUCCAUGAUCAUUUAGCAAUGUGCCUUCCAAAGUCACCUACUGUCCUCCAAUUAGUUUCGUGGUUAGUUCACUUUAGCAUAUCCUUCCUCUCUUCCUAUAUCGAGUAAUUCUUCCCUAUUAACGGUUGUAUAUUUAUAUACAAUUCUAUAUUUUGUCUCAUUUACACCAUUUGACAAGAUAGACACAUAGUUGUAUACUAUCGAUAGUGAUUAAAAAGAGAAAAUUUCUCAUGGAUUGCGUUAUGUCUCUCUGUAUAUUUUAAUUCAGAGUUAUUAUUCUAUCCUCUUUUUUUUUUUUUCCUUUUGAAUAAAAUAUUCCCCUAAUCUUGUAUUGUUUACAAAGUUCUUCCUUCAAAAAAUUCACAAAGCAACUUUUGUGCUUAAAAUGUAGUCAAGCACACAAAAUAUUCCCCAUCUAGUGGAGAGCGACCCUUAAUCCACUACGCGAUAUGUUGACAAAAAUGGCAUAUUCUUCUCCAAAAACUUGAUAAUUUUGAUCCCCCAUUGAUUUUAUGUGAAUUUUAGGUAUGAUACUAGGAGGAGCUAGUCAAUUACAAGGUAUUUAUGGAUAAAUUUUCAAAUAACCCAAAAUCAUUGUCAUUGAACAAAAAAUUUCAAAACGCAAUUACUUCAUUUGAAGGGUUAAAAAACGUUAAAAAAAAAAGUCCAUUAAAAUGCAAAUAAAAAAGUCAAAUAUCAGCCACAUUUGUGAUCCCAUAAUGAUGUCGUUUAUUUGGUUUCUGACCUUUUGUUACAACUUUUGUCUUUCACUGAGCAAUUUCCAAACAGCGUGCGGUCCAAUUCACACCUAGACGCGGCAGACUGAUGGGGUAGCUCUUAUUUGCCAGUGUAGCUUCGGUGCUUAUAUAAUCCGUUUGCUUGUUCUUGCUUUUGCAUACAUAUUUGUCUUGAGUUGAGAGCAAAUAAUGUAAGCUUGGUUCCUUUUUCUUUAUGUCCUUCAAAUUCAUCUUAUUCAUAUUGCUUUGUUGGAUAUUUGGUCAACUUCAUGCAUGUGUUUUUGGAGCAUGUUCUUUUAUUUUUGUUCUUAAUUACCAACUUUUGUUUCCCUUCAGAUAUUUGGGUCCUUUUGCAGUGUGCAGACCACCAUCAUGAACAAAGCCUUGUUGGUUAUGCUAUUUAUGGUUUUCUAUAAUGGUGCUUCUUCAAAUGGACUUGGUGCUAAUGUUACUACUGCAAGACCUGAAGUUGUCAACAUAGGCGCGAUUUUCACUUUCGAUUCUGUCAUUGGCAAAAUUGCAAAACUUGCAAUAGCCCUUGCAGUCGAAGAUGUCAAUUCUGAUCCAGAAAUUCUCAAUGGAACAAAGCUGACACUUAAAAUGCAGAAUACCAAAUCUAGUGACUUUCUGGGCAUCAUUGAGGGUACACACUAAUUAAAUUUCCCAUGUUUUCACUCAAAAGUUUUAUCAGUUCCUUUACACAAGUCUUAGUAAGAAUGAUGGAUAUUUCUUGUUGCUUGACAGCUUUGCAGUUCUUGGAGAAUGACACAGUGGCCAUAAUUGGCCCCCAAUUCUCAGCUACUGCUCAUGUAAUCUCACAUAUUGCAGAUGAACUAAAAGUCCCACUAUUAUCAUUUGCAGCAACAGACCCUACUCUGUCUCCAACUCAGUUCCCAUUCUUGGUUAGGACAACAAGAAGUGACCUCUUUCAGAUGACUGCAGUAGCAGACCUUGUUUUCUACUAUGAGUGGAGAGAUGUCAUAGCAAUAUAUGUGAAUGAUGAUUUCGGCAGAAAUGCCAUUGCUGCCUUAGGGGACAAGCUAGCCGAAAAACGGUGUAAAAUUUCAUACAAAGUGCCCCUGAACCCCAAAGCAACAAAAGAUGAAAUCACCAACGCACUCAUUAGUGUUUCUUCAAUGGAGUCCAGGAUUCUGAUCCUGCACAUUUAUACCAGUUGGGGUCUACAAGUGCUUACUGAAGCACGAAACCUCAUGAUGAUGGCUAGUGGAUAUGUCUGGAUUGCUACUGAUUGGUUCUCUACAAUAAUAGAUACAGAUCCUUCCCUGCCUUUUAUAUCAACAGAUGACAUUCAAGGGGUUCUUACAUUAAAAAUGUACACACCAGAAUCGGAGCUCAAAAAAAAAUUUAAAUCGCGGUGGAGCAACUUAACUAGUUCAAGAAGAGUGAAUGGCUCUUCUUUUGGGCUAAAUACGUAUGGUCUAUAUGCCUAUGAUUCUGUAAGGCAUCUUGCUGUUGCCCUUGAUUCAUUUUUUGCUCGUGGGGAAAAUAUUUCAUUUUCAAAUGACUCGAACUUAAACGAGUUAGGCGGAGGGAAGUUGAAUCUUGAUGCUUUGAACAUGUUCAAUGGUGGCAGCCAGCUACUCCAAAGCAUUUUAGAGGUUAACACAACUGGUUUAACUGGGCCAGUUAAGUUUAAUCCAGAUGGGAACUUGAUUAAACCUGCAUUUGAAGUCAUCAAUGUGAUUGGCACAGGGACUAGGACAAUUGGUUAUUGGUCCAACUCUUCUGGUUUCUUACUUGAUCCACCAGAAAAGCCUCAAAGGAAGCUGCAGUCUAAUGGCUCCAGCACCGGUACUGAACGACUAUACAGCGUCAUCUGGCCUGGACAAACAACUCAGAAGCCUCGUGGGUGGGUUUUCCCUGACAACGGAAGAAAGCUCAGGAUUGGUGUCCCAAAUCGAGUUAGCUAUCGUGAGUUUGUGGGCAUAAAAGGCACAGAAUUCACUGGCUAUUGCAUUGAGGUCUUUCAAGCUGCAUUGAAUGAGUUACCAUAUGGUGUCCCAUAUAAAUUUGUCCCUUUUGGGGAUGGUAAAAAGAACCCAGAAAACCAUGAACUUCUGCACAUGAUCCAAAUUGGUGUAAGUAUAAACUACAAAACAGAGAGUAUUUAGAUUUUUCUUAACAUUACUAUAAUUAUUAAUUCUUUGGAUUACCAUCUUUAUACAGGAGUUUGAUGGUGUGGUUGGAGAUAUUACCAUCACCACUAGCAGAACAAAGAUGGUGGAUUUCACACAGCCAUAUAUUGAGUCUGGUUUAGUUGUGGUUGCACCAAUAAGGAAGUUGAACUCUAGUGCCUGGGCUUUUCUGAGACCUUUCACACCAAUGAUGUGGGGUGUCACAGGCAUUUUCUUCCUAGUUGUGGGAACAGUAGUUUGGAUUUUGGAGCGUAGGACAAACGAGGAUUUUCGGGGCCCUCCAAGAAAGCAAUUUGUCACAAUUAUUUGGUAAGUGCUUCAAUCCACAUCUUCAAAUGCAAAAUUUCAAUACAUUCCAACAAGAUUUUCUUGGUUUGUUUUUAAUCAUCUCUUGAUCUAAACUCUCUAGUUGGUAUAUAAUUAUUGCUUUCUUCUCGCAGGUUUAGCUUUUCAACUCUGUUCUUUUCCCAGAGUAAGUGAAAUGAACCAAGAAGCUUAUAUUAUGUUAAAUGAUACUUUAUAUAACUGUUUGAUCGUAUUCCUUAUUGGUAACAUAUGCAGAAGAAAAAACAGGCAGCACGCUCGGUCGCUUCGUGCUAAUCAUAUGGCUAUUUGUAGUUCUAAUACUCAACUCAAGCUACAUUGCAAGCCUGACGUCAAUCCUCACAGUGGAGCAGCUUUCUUCACCUGUUAAAGGGAUUGAAAGUCUAGCAACAGGCGGUGAUCCCAUUGGUUUCCUGAAGGGUUCAUUUGCCGAAAACUACUUGACCGAUGAGCUAAACAUACACAGGUCCAGACUUGUACCUCUCAACUCACCAGAAGAAUAUGAGAAAGCCUUGCAAGAUGGCCCCAGCGCAGGCGGUGUUGCUGCAGUGAUCGAUGAGCGUGCAUACAUGGAACUCUUCCUCUCUUCUCGAUGCGGAUAUAGCAUUGUAGGUCAAGAAUUCACCAAAAUGGGAUGGGGUUUUGUAAGUAUCAUAUCCUUCAAUCUCAUUGUACAAAAGUUCGUGACAUUUGGUUUUUGCAUUUUUUUUUUUCGGCAUAUAACUUUGAUAUCUUAUGUUGUCAUACUGUCAAUAUGAGCCUUGACAACAUAACAUGAUAAACUGUCUAGUGCUCGAUCGUAUGCUUAUAAUCAUAGUUGGUUUUUCAUUUUAGGCCUUUCCAAGGGACUCUCCACUAGCAAUUGACAUGUCAACUGCAGUACUUAAACUAUCAGAGAAGGGUGAUCUUCAGAAGAUUCAUGACAAGUGGCUGAUGAAAAGUGCUUGCAGUGCAGAAGGAGCAAAGCAAGCUGUAGAUCGCCUUCAGAUAAAGAGCUUUUGGGGCCUUUUUCUGCUGAGUGGCAUAGCUUGCUUUCUUGCUCUUGUUCUUCAUGUUAUUCGCAUGAUGCACAAAUACUACAAGCGGCCUGAUUCUGACUGUGAGAGCUCACAAUCUAGACGGCUUCAAUCUUUCGUUUCGUUUGUAAAUAAAAGGGAGCAAGAAGUGAAAAGCAGACCCAAGAGAAUGAGGACUGAGAAGGCCUCAAGUAAAAUAGUGCAUGAAGAUAGUAGCAUCAAUGGUUUGGAUGAAAGCGUCUAAACUAUGAGAUAAUGAAAAAAAGUGAAAAAUAAGUGAUUGAUUUGUAGCUCAAAUGAUUAUAUCCAUGCAUAAUAGGUCUUUAGAUUCGAUUUUUCAUUCUCUAAUAUUACUUGUAUAAAAAUAAAAAAUUAAGGACAGUUGAUCUUCGUGAAUUAAGUUCGAAGCCUGCCAAAAAAGCCCAACAACUUGGCCCGUACUCUAAAUAUGGGCUAAAAUAAGGUUUGAGCCUGGCUUGUAGCCCAAUAAAAUAUCUGUACACUAGACCAGACAUUUUACUUUACACUUUUUUUUUUCUUACAUCUUUUCAUACACAACCUUCUUCAUAACUUUUUAUAUUUCGAUUACUUUCUUUUCAAUUUGUCAACAAUAAAGUUGGGAACGUUUUAGAAAAGAAUAUUCGAUACUAGAUUUAUUGCUCAAAAUCCUUCUGUGAAAACAGCCAAUUCUUAAUGCUUAAUAUAUGGACCACAUGAUCCUAUGGUACCACAUGCUACCCUACCUGUGGCUUCCAUUCCAGGAAAGCCAAUGAAUUAAACAAGCAAACACCAUUCUGAAUUAUGAUUGAUUGAAACCCAACUGAGCCAUGGACCAUUAUUGGUGGUGCACUCACUGGUCCUGGUCCAUCCAUAAGCGAAUCUGAAAAUUCUACACAAGGCAUAUGGGCAUUUUUGGCUUAUUGGGUCCACCACAAAAACUAUUUUGACACUGAAAAUUCCGAGGUCGUCAUCUCCAUGUCAUGGAACACACUCUCGUCACAACCAACAGUGUCUCUUUCUUUCUACCUGGUAUUAAUUUCCAACCCACAUUUUCUGCAUUGACAAUAAUACUAUUAUCAUCAUUAUACAUGAGCAAUUUCAGAAACUUUCUCAGGUGUACAUGCUUGACCAAUACUGCUUAGCGUAUAAACCUGACCUUUUUGAUGCAUAAAGCUCUAAAGUUUAUAACUUUUUGCUUUUUAAAUUCCUUUCAUCUUCUUUGCUAGAAAACCCAGUUGGCCAAUUUCCUGAUUAUACUUGUCCUUGUGGGGGGGGGGAAUGAGUUUUUUCCCAAAAGGGUUCUUUGGGUUUAAGUCACAAAUGCUGUGUUACUGUUUUAAUCUAGUAAGAGAGAGUAGAAAUUUCUGGGUCUAACUUCUAGUUCAGUUCUUUGGAUUAAGGCAAUGGCUGCACUGUUAGUUGUCUUUUCAUCUGGAAUCAAACUUCUAAAGGUUUCUUUUCCUUUUUUCACUGUUUUUUUCCCCUUGGUCGAAUUCUCUUUUUUGAUGAAGUUGGUGGAAUUCUCUUUUACUGUUAAGUGUUGCUAGAAUAUGCAUAUUGGUGUGAGCCCACAAUUGGGUCCGUAUUAAACGCUCUUCCUUUUUCCUCAAAGUAAAAAUCUUUCCUCACAAGCUGCUUUUUACUUUCAUUUUGUGUCUGUUGUCUCUUCAUGGGUCUGAUUAGUUGGUAAUUUAGCAGAAAACUCUAGUUUGUGAGCUCAACUUAUCAUUUGUCUGUUUAUGUUUCAUGAUUAGAUCUAGUUAUUAGUGGGAGUUUCUAAUUAUUUAUCUACUUCUUGUGGAGUUUAUGACGUUGAGCUUACGUGUACAUACUCUUUCAGCACCUAGUUGUUCUCUUCAUGUUACUGGAUGAAAUUCUUAGUUGCUUGCUUAUUUUUCGGUGUUUCUUAACUAUGCCAGUGUAUGAGUUUGAAGUCCAGUUGAUUCUACCGCUUUCUGGGUGGCUGGUUUGCUUCCUUUGCAAAGCAAGUUGAAAAUUGGGGGUUUACUAUGAAUAUAGUUUGGCUCUCGGUGUUGAUGGUUUUCUAUAAUGGGGUUGCCUCAAAUGGGGGUAGCACGAAUGUCUCUACAAGACCAGAAUUUGUAAAUGUUGGGGCUGUUUUCUCUUUCAAUUCCAUUGUUGGCAAAGUUGCUAAAGUGGCAAUAGAAGCUGCCAUUGAAGAUGUGAAUUCUGAUCCAGCUGUUCUUGGUGGAACUAAGAUGAUAGUUCAAAUGCAAGACUCAAAUUACAGUGGAUUUCUGGGCAUCGUUGAAGGUACGUCUUGAGACUUUGUUCACAGUUCGUAAGAUCUCUCUUAAAUGCAUUAUAUAGGAACACUGAAUUCUGAUCCAGCUGUUCUUGCUGCAGCCUUACGGUUCAUGGAGAAAGACACAGUGGCCAUAAUUGGACCUCAGAAUGCUGUCACAGCUCAUAUAAUAUCUCAUAUUGCAAAUGAGCUCCAAGUUCCUCUAUUAUCAUUUUCAGUAACGGACCCCACCCUGUCUUCACUUCAGUUCCCAUUCUUUGUUAGAACCACCCAGAAUGAUCUGCAUCAAAUGGCUGCAGUAGCCGCAAUGAUUGACCACUACGGAUGGAAAGAGGUAAUUGCACUCUAUGUUGAUGAUGACUAUGGGAGAAAUGGGAUUGCUGCAUUAGGGGAUAUGCUUGCUGAGAGACGUUGUAAGAUCUCAUACAAAGCACCUUUGGUCCUUGAUCCUAACCAGAGUAACAUCACUGAUUUACUGGUUAAAGUGGCUUUGACAGAGUCUCGGAUUAUUGUUCUUCACGCUUAUGCUGGUUGGGGUCCUCAGGUGUUAACUGUGGCCAAGUAUCUUGGCAUGAUGGGAACUGGCUAUGUCUGGAUAGCCACUCACUGGCUAACUACUCAAAUAGAUACCAACUCUCCUCUCCCAUCAAGUAUGAUGGAUGAUAUGCAAGGAGUUCUAACAUUGCGCAUGUACACACCAGAGACAGAACUGAAAAGAAAAUUUGUUUCUAGGUGGAGCAACUUGACUAGUGGGCAGACAUCUAAAGGCAAACUUGGGUUGAAUGCUUAUGGUCUUUAUGCCUACGACACUGUGUGGUUGCUUGCUCAUGCAAUUAAUGCCUUUUUUGAUCAAGGAGGAAACAUUUCAUUUUCAAAUGAUUCAAGGUUGACUCAGCUGCGCAGAGGGGAUCUGAAUCUUGAUGCCAUGAGUAUCUUUAAUGGAGGGAAUCUGUUAUUGCGUAACAUUUUACAGGUUAAUAUGACUGGCAUAACUGGCCCUGUUAAGUUCACUCCAGAUAGGAACCUCAUUCAUCCUGCAUUUGAAAUCAUAAAUGUGAUUGGCACAGGGAUUAGGAAGAUUGGUUACUGGUCCAAUUAUUCGGGUUUAUCAGUUGUGCCUCCAGAAUACACAAAGCCACCAAACCGUUCUAGUUCAAAUGAAAGCCUGUACAGCGUAAUUUGGCCUGGACAAACAACACAGAAGCCUCGUGGUUGGGUAUUUCCAAACAAUGGAAGGCACUUGAAGAUUGGAGUCCCAAAACGUGUUAGUUUUCGUGAAUUUGUUUCAUACGCAGAAGGCAAUGACAUGUUCACUGGGUACUGCAUUGAUGUUUUUACUGCUGCAUUGAACAUGUUGCCCUAUGCUGUUCCAUACAAGUUGAUUCCUUUUGGUGAUGGCGUUAAGAACCCAACAAGCACUGAACUUGUGCACAAAAUCCAAACGGGUGUGAGUAUCAUAUACAGAGCAUUUCUUUAAACUUAAGAAGGUAAAUAUUUUUUCUGAUUUUCCAUUUGCUUCUUCCCUAUAGGAAUUUGAUGGAGCAAUAGGUGACAUUGCAAUCAUCACCAACCGAACAAGGAUGGCAGAUUUUACACAGCCAUUUAUUGAAUCUGGGCUAGUAGUUGUUGCACCUGUUAGGACAACGUUGAAUUCUAAUCCUUGGGCUUUUCUGAGGCCAUUCAAUCCAAUGAUGUGGGGCGUCACGGCUGCCUUCUUUCUCAUUGUUGGAACAGUUGUUUGGAUUUUAGAGCAUAGGUUGAACGAUGAUUUUCGGGGGCCUCCUAAAAAACAAAUUGUCACUAUUCUGUGGUGAGUAAUAAGAAGUAUCUCAUGUUAUCUCAUUCUAUGUUGGAAGCUUUAUAAUUCUCUACUGUGUUCAAGACAUUGAGAUAGUGUCUGUGAAUUGGUGUUACUUUCUCAUAAUGUCUAUUUGUGGAGUUCACCAUACUAGGAUUGGCAUCUUCUUGGUAUAAAUCCCACAAUUACUUAAAAUUUGUGCUUUCCUUCUGCAGGUUUAGCUUUUCAACUUGGUUCUUUGCCCAUAGUAAGUAAAUUCGCACUAAUUUAGUAGCUUUUCCAGCAACCAUGGGUUAUAGCUGCUUCUUAUUUACUCUUUUUUUUCUUUUUUCUUUUUUUUUUGUUGGGAUCUUAUGCAGGAGAAAAUACAGUCAGCACUCUGGGUCGCUUAGUACUAAUUAUAUGGCUGUUUGUCAUUCUUAUAAUCAAUUCAAGCUACACUGCAAGUUUGACCUCAAUCCUUACAGUGCAACAGCUUUCUUCCUCCAUCAAAGGCCUUGAUACUUUGCUUGCAAGCAAUGACCCCAUUGGCUACCAGCAAGGUUCAUUUGCC
rnacentral:lncRNA from 1 species